rnacentral:rRNA from 1 species
UUUAAGCGUGUAGGGGGUGUGACCUGGUAAAUCCGGUUGCAUACUAACCCUGAGGCGUGAUGACGAUGCACUACGGUGCAGAAGUAGUUGAUGCCCUGCUUCCAGGAAAAUCCUCUAAGCUCCAGGUAACAUUAAAUCGUACCCCAAACCGACACAGGUGGUCAGGUAGAGAAUACCAAGGCGCUUGAGAGAACUCGGGUGAAGGAACUAGGCAAAAUGGUGCCGUAACUUCGGGAGAAGGCACGCUGGCAUGUAGGUGAAGUCCCUUGCGGAUGGAGCUGAAGCCAGUCGAAGAUACCAGCUGGCUGCAACUGUUUAAUAAAAACACAGCACUGUGCAAACACGAAAGUGGACGUAUACGGUGUGACGCCUGCCCGGUGCUGGAAGGUUAAUUGAUGGGGUCAGCCGCAAGGCGAAGCUCUUGAUCGAAGCCCCAGUAAACGGCGGCCGUAACUAUAACGGUCCUAAGGUAGCGAAAUUCCUUGUCGGGUAAGUUCCGACCUGCACGAAUGGCGUAAUGAUGGCCAGGCUGUCUCCACCCGAGACUCAGUGAAAUUGAACUCGCUGUGAAGAUGCAGUGUACCCGCGGCAAGACGGAAAGACCCCGUGAACCUUUACUAUAGCUUGACACUGAACAUUGAGCCUUGAUGUGUAGGAUAGGUGGGAGGCUUUGAAGCGUGGACGCCAGUCUGCGUGGAGCCAUCCUUGAAAUACCACCCUUUAAUGUUUGAUGUUCUAACUCGGCCCCGUGAUCCGGGGUGAGGACAGUGUCUGGUGGGUAGUUUGACUGGGGCGGUCUCCUCCCAAAGAGUAACGGAGGAGCACGAAGGUUAGCUAAUCACGGUCGGACAUCGUGAGGUUAGUGCAAAGGCAUAAGCUAGCUUGACUGCGAGAGUGACGGCUCGAGCAGGUACGAAAGUAGGUCUUAGUGAUCCGGUGGUUCUGAAUGGAAGGGCCAUCGCUCAACGGAUAAAAGGUACUCCGGGGAUAACAGGCUGAUACCGCCCAAGAGUUCAUAUCGACGGCGGUGUUUGGCACCUCGAUGUCGGCUCAUCACAUCCUGGGGCUGAAGUAGGUCCCAAGGGUAUGGCUGUUCGCCAUUUAAAGUGGUACGCGAGCUGGGUUUAGAACGUCGUGAGACAGUUCGGUCCCUAUCUGCCGUGGGCGUUGGAAGAUUGAGAGGGGUUGCUCCUAGUACGAGAGGACCGGAGUGAACGCACCACUGGUGUUCGGGUUGUCAUGCCAAUGGCAUUGCCCGGUAGCUAAGUGCGGAAAAGAUAAGCGCUGAAAGCAUCUAAGCGCGAAACUU